UCGCAAAACAAUGGGCCAAAUCCUAUCCGAAUAAUCUUAUCAUAAACCCUCAAAACCAACACUGCCUCAGGCUAGCUAAACCAUGAAGAUGGGUUCAGCCUCAGCUGGUUUAGUUUCAAUCUUCAGCAAUGGCUACCGGAGUCUCAGUGCUCCAGUCUCCUCCUGGCGAACAUUAGCGUCUUCUUCUUUAUAUAAGCAUUACAAGAGGAAUAGCAAGAGUGCAGUUUUUUCUUGCUUGAGUUCAAGCAAGAUAGAGCUUUCUUGUUUAUCUUCCAAAGUGGAUGUUGCCCAAACAACGACUACUUCUGUUAAUGGCUAUCACAAAUAUGACCGGUUGCUUCCAUGUCCUUCAGAAAAUGGCCCACCAAGAGUUGAACACUUAGUUGUUUCAGAAGGAGGGCCUGUUCUGGAGUACAUCUGUAAAUCACUAGAUCUUCCUCCUCUGUUUGUUGCAGAUCUCAUCCAUUUUGGAGCAGUAUAUUAUGCCCUUGUGUGUCCACAACCUCCUCCAAGUGCCACCCCGGAGCAAAUUAGGAUAUUUAAAGAAGUAACAGCACCAUCAGUUUUAAGUAAAAGAACAUCCAUUAAGGGGAAAACCGUACGGGAGGCGCAAAAAACUUUCCGUAUAACUCACGUUGAGCAGUUUGUUGAAGCUGGAACAUACUUACGUGUGCAUGUACACCCGAAACGUUUUCCAAGGUGUUAUGAAAUUGACUGGAAAUCAAGAAUCAUAGCUGUGACUGACUCCUAUGUGGUUUUGGACAAACCUGCCGGUACAUCUGUUGGAGGAACUUCAGACAAUAUAGAAGAAAGUUGUGCAACAUUUGCUAGUCGUGCCUUGGGAUUUUCCACCCCAUUGAAGACUACUCAUCAGAUAGAUAAUUGCACGGAAGGCUGUGUUGUAUUAGCUAGGACUAAGGAGUAUUGCUCAAUUUUUCAUGGAAAAAUCAGAGAGAAAAAGGUAAAGAAACUAUAUCUUGCUCUCACAGCUGCACCUGUACCAAUUGGAAUAAUAACACACUAUAUGCGUCCAAUCAAUGUUGCUCCUAGACUCGUCUCAGAGGAUUUUAUUAAAGGAUGGUACUUGUGUAAACUUGAGGUUAUGGAAUGCAAGGAGGUUCCCUGGCCAGAUCCUGUCAUUCAACAAAAGUACUGUAUUGAGGAUUCUGAGUGGCCCUCGAAAGAUCGUGCUUAUGAGUGUAAAAUAAACCUUUUGACUGGUCGGACUCAUCAGGUUCGUGCACAACUGGCUGCCUGUGGGGCACCAAUAGUGGGCGACUCGAUGUACAUGCCAGCUGCUAUUGCAGAGAUGGCAAACCCUGGGCUUAACCCAUUUGGUAAAUACAAAAAGUACACUACUGAGAGUGAUAAAGAAAUGACUGUCACAAAGUGGUUUGCCCGGUUUGGGAAAGAGCCAAAGGUUGCCAUUGGUCUGCAAGCUUGUGAAAUUUCAUGGGAUGAUGGUGAGCACUUUUAUGAAGCCAGAUCUCCCUGGUGGAGAUCUGGAAUGGCUUAAAUUGUAUACGAUGGGAGAAGGAUAAUCAGUCAUUUAAAGGUACAUGCCUCGUGUUAAUCUUGUUGUGAAGGUCUCAUUUCUAUUUACAAAGGGACUCUACAAUUUUAGUAACCAGCAUGAAGGGUCACGUGGCAGUUUCAAUUUGUAGAUGUUUCCAGUUAGAAAGGCCCUCUUUGGCUCAUUUUGAAUUGCUAGAUCCUCCAUUUCCCUUUUCCCUUGGGUUGUGAUUUUUCUUGUAACCUUUGUAGUGGUUGUAAGUGAGAUAUGGUUGAUGUUGUUUCCAAAUAGUUGAGCACUAAAUAGUUAAAAAUUUAAUUUAUUAGUCUCUUGCAGCUUCA